rnacentral:misc_RNA from 1 species
AACAUCGCGCACCUGCGGGAACCUGCGGAGGGAUCAUUACAGAGUUGCAAGACUCCCUAAACCAUUGUGAACGUUACCUAAACCGUUGCUUCGGCGGGCGGCCCGGGUCCUUCCCGGCGCCCCUCGGCCCUCGCGGGCGCCCGCCGGAGGUAAACCAAACUAUUGCAUUGUAUGGCCUCUCUGAGUCUUCUGUACUGAAUAAGUCAAAACUUUCAACAACGGAUCUCAGAUCGGAAGAGC